rnacentral:rRNA from 1 species
GAACGCUGGCGGCGUGCCUAAUACAUGCAAGUCGAACGCACGUCUCGUUUAGAUUGAAGGAGUUUGCUCCUGAUUGAUAAACAUUUGAGUGAGUGGCGGACGGGUGAGUAACACGUGGGUAACCUGCCCUAAAGUGGGGGAUAACAUUUGGAAACAGAUGCUAAUACCGCAUAAAACCUAACACCGCAUGGUGUAGGGUUGAAAGAUGGUUUCGGCUAUCACUUUAGGAUGGACCCGCGGUGCAUUAGUUAGUUGGUGAGGUAAAGGCUCACCAAGACCGUGAUGCAUAGCCGACCUGAGAGGGUAAUCGGCCACACUGGGACUGAGACACGGCCCAGACUCCUACGGGAGGCAGCAGUAGGGAAUCUUCCACAAUGGACGAAAGUCUGAUGGAGCAACGCCGCGUGAGUGAAGAAGGUUUUCGGAUCGUAAAACUCUGUUGUUGGAGAAGAAUGUAUCUGAUAGUAACUGAUCAGGUAGUGACGGUAUCCAACCAGAAAGCCACGGCUAACUACGUG